CCUACGGGUGGCAGCAGUGGGGAAUCUUCUGCAAUGGGCGAAAGCCUGACGGAGCAACGCCGCGUGAUCGAAUGAAGGCCUUCGGGUUGUAAAGAUCUGCUGACAGGGACGAAUAAGCCAUGCGAAUAGUUUGGUGUAUGACGGUACCUGUUUAGAAAGCUCCGGCUAACUACGUGCCAGCAGCCGCGGUAAUACGUAGGGAGCAAGCGUUGUCCGGAAUUACUGGGCGUAAAGGGCGCGUAGGUGGGUGCUUAAGUCAGGUGUGAAAACUCUGGGCUCAACCUGGCGACUGCACUUAAAAAGGGGUAUCUGGAGGGCAGGAGAGAAAAGUGAAAUUCCUGGGGGAGCGGUGAAAUGGGU
rnacentral:rRNA from 1 species